GCAUCUGUGCAUGCAGCAUAUCAAUAAGCGGAGGAAAAGAAACUAACAAGGAUUCCCCUAGUAACGGCGAGUGAAGCGGGAAGAGCUCAAAUUUGAAAUCUUAAAGGGUUUCCCUUUACGAAUUGUAGUUUAAAGAAGUGUUUUCUGUUGAGGUUUUGGUAAAAGUUCUUUGGAAUAGGACAUCAUAGAGGGUGAGAAUCCCGUAUUUGACCUUUACUUUCAACUUUGUGAUACACUUUCAAAGAGUCGGAUUGUUUGGGAAUGCAGUCCAAAAUGGGUGGUAAAUUUCAUCUAAAGCUAAAUAGUUGGCGAGAGACCGAUAGCGAACAAGUACCGUGAGGGAAAGAUGAAAAGAACUUUGAAAAGAGAGUUAAACAGUACGUGAAAUUGUCAAAAGGGAAGCGUUUGACACCAGUGUUGUUUUUCUGAAAAUCAAUUAAAGAACUGUUUAUGCUAAGCUGUUUAGACUUUAUCAGCUAACUGUUUAGUUUUGAGCUUUUCUUUAAUGCACUUUUCAGUUAACAAGUCAACAUCAAUUUCUUUUGCUGUAAAAAAGCUUGAGGAAGGUGGCUUGAGAUUCGUCUUAAGUGUUUAUAGCCUCUUGCCUAUGCAGUCGGAGAGAUUGAGGUCUGCAGCGUAGAUCCUUCGGGGCUAAAUGCAUUUGUGCUAAGUUAUAGCAUUUUAUAGACAACUUGUUGACUAUGAUUUGUCUUGUAGCUUACUCGCUUAUGUUAUUUUACCUACGCUUAGGAUGUUGAGCGCAUGUCUCUCUCU
rnacentral:rRNA from 1 species